GACGAACCGUGCGACCGUUAUUCGGAAUCACUGGGCUUAAAGGGCGCGUAGGCGGGCUCGUAAGUCAGGGGUGAAAUCCCACGGCCCAACCGUGGAAGUGCCUCUGAUACUGCGGGCCUCGAGGGGGAUAGGGGCGUGCGGAACUCAGGGUGGAGCGGUGAAAUGCGUAGAUAUCCUGAGGAACACCGGUGGCGAAAGCGGCGCGCUGGAUCCCUUCUGACGCUGAGGCGCGAAAGCCAGGGGAGCAAACAGG
rnacentral:rRNA from 1 species